rnacentral:rRNA from 1 species
GAUGAACGCUAGCGACAGGCUUAACACAUGCAAGUCGAGGGGCAGCAUAAAAGUAGCAAUACUUUGGUGGCGACCGGCGCACGGGUGAGUAACGCGUAUGCAACCUACCUAUCAGAGGGGGAUAACCCGGCGAAAGUCGGACUAAUACCGCAUAAAACAGGGGCACCGCAUGGUGAUAUUUGUUAAAAAUUUAUUGCUGAUAGAUGGGCAUGCGUUCCAUUAGGUAGUUGGAGAGGUAACGGCUCACCAAGCCUACGAUGGAUAGGGGAACUGAGAGGUUGGUCCCCCACACUGGUACUGAGACACGGACCAGACUCCUACGGGAGGCAGCAGUGAGGAAUAUUGGUCAAUGGGCGAGAGCCUGAACCAGCCAAGUCGCGUGAAGGAAGAAGGAUCUAUGGUUCGUAAACUUCUUUUGCAGGGGAAUAAAGUGCAGGACGUGUCCUGUUUUGUAUGUACCCUGAGAAUAAGGAUCGGCUAACUCCGUGCCAGCAGCCGCGGUAAA